rnacentral:lncRNA from 1 species
UUUUUUUUUUUUUUUUUUUAACUUUAAAGAGCUAGAAGGACCUUGUAGGUAAACUUUUCAACCACUUUAUCAUUCAGAAAAAAAAAAAAACAAUGCAAGAUAACUCGACUUUUCAAAAAGAUUGAUUUUUUUUAAUUCUAUUUUAUCUAUGUGUUUUGCUUACAUGUGUGCAAGUGCACCACAUGUGUGCCUUGCUGCCCAUGAAGGUCAGAAGAGGGGGGUCAGAUCCACUGGAACUGGAGUUGAGGACAGUCAUGAAUGAGCCUCCAUGUGGGUGCUAGGAAUUAAACUGGCUUUUGUUCUCUGCAAAUUUCUGAGCCACCUUUCUAGCAAUUAGUGAUUCAGUUAUCAUUUAAAGAACAAAUUGAGCUUUAAGUGCUAAUUUAGCGUUAUGAGAUGUAUAUCCUAAAUAUAUGUAUUUUAAGUUUUCAGGGUGCAGCUCCACAGUAGAGCACUUGCUAGCACAGGUAGUCUCUGAAUCAAUUGAUGGGGAGGUCAGAAUUUUUAUCUGCUAAAUAGUCUUCAGGUUUUAUUUUGGGACUAAUUUUUAGUAGGGCUGCUUUAUUUAAAAACAAAAAGCCAAACAUGUUAUUAUUCAAAAUAAAUUGUUCUUUAAGCUGUACACAGUAUCCUUUUGAUGUGGGUCCUUCCUCCCCCCCCUCUUUUUUUAAGAUUUAUUUAUUUAUUAUAUGUAAGUACACUGUAGCUGUCUUUGGACACACUAGAAGAGGGCGUCAGAUCUCAUUAUGGGUGGUUGUGAACCACCAUGUGGUUUCUGGGAUUUGAACUCAGGACCUUUGGAAGAGCAGUCAGUGCUCUUACCCAUUGAGCCAUCUCGCCAGCCCCUUCCUCCCUUCUAUUAAUCGUAGAUUCUUUUCUCAUAUAAUUUGAAUUAGUUCCCAUUCCCCCACGAUUUCCAGUUCUCCCUACUUGCCCUACUAUUAAGAUCUAUUCCCUUUCUGUCCCUUAGAACAGGCUUCUAAGAGAUAACAACAAAACAUAAAAAAUAAGAUAAAACUUAAAGCAUCAUAAUGAAGUUAGAUAAGCCAAGCCAACAGUAGAAAUAAAAGACCCCCAAAGAGAAGGCACAAGAAUCAGAGACACACUAGUUUGCACAGUCAGGAGUUCCAUAAAAGUACUACCUAAAAGCUAUAGAAUAUGUGCAGAGGACUUGUAAUCUGUACACAGUAUCUUCUAUGUUAUCCGUUCUUCUGAACUUGAUUCAACUAAUUUAUAGUCGAUUUGUUUUUAAUAUUGAAAUAAAAAUUAUUGAAGCAAUACUAUUUCUUCUUCUUCAAAGAUAUUCUGGUAAUGUUGUGUCUAAACCUAUGUCCUGGGAGCCAGGGACCGUAGCCCCUAGCCUAUCCUCUAGACAGGGCCUUUUGUGUCCAAUUGUUAUUAUACAAAAAUUUUCUUACUAUGUAGUCAUGGUCGGCCUUGAACUCAGUAUGGGGACAGCUAAGUAUGGACAACCACCUGCCUCUACCUCCUGUUUAUACCACCAUACCUGGUAUUAGUUCUAGAUAAUUUUAAUUAAAAUUCCAUAAAUGCUUAAAAGGAAAGUAAUAGAGCAGAAAGACGUUUAUGGAUUCAGAAUAUGUUCAGGAGAUUGUGUAUUCUGUUUUCCAGGCUCAGUAAGUUUUGAGAGUCAGUGUCUUUGGAGGCCUGUGGUAACUGAUCCGUAUGCAAGGAGUGAUAGAAUUGCAUUUUCAUACUUUAGGGAGUUUUGUCGUCCUGCUCUGUUUAAAAUAAAUUCACGUCUAAAUUUUAUAAAGUAAUUUAAAAAUAGAAAUUGAAUUAUUUUUGGUAAGCUUUUAAGAAUUGUUAUAUAUUAGGGGGCUGGAGUGAUGGGUCUGUGGCUAAAAGGGCCUGCAAUUCUAGAGGACCUGAGUUCCGUUCCUGGUACCCACAUCUGGCAGCUCACAACUGCCUGUUAAUUUCAGCUCCAGAGUAUCUUAUGCCCUCUUGUGGCCAUUGUAGGCAUUGCUCUCAUGUGUCAUACACAGGCCAUACUUAUUUUUCAAAACUGUCAAAGAAUUUAGUUACAUCUUAGAAAGAUUUGGAUUUUCUUAUAAUUUUAGAUAGUCUACAUUAGAAAUUGCUUUUCUCACAAUUCUUAAAGAAUUCGAGUCUGAGGUUUUCAUCUUGCUGACUUCUGUUUUGGUUGCUGUCCCAAAGCUGUAUCUGUCUCCAUAGAUACAGAGGUCAGUAGCAGCAUGGCUUUGUCAAUGGGUGCUUGAGUGAGAAGAUAGAAAAUAGGGGGAUCAUGGCUUCAAUUCAGAUGAGACCACCUUUCCUAGUCUGGAGCCACACAGAGGCCCAAGGCUCUGGUUGAUAACAAUCUCACUGGGGAAAGCAACAUUUACAGAGGAAAGCUUUAUUCACAGUUUAGGGCUUGCUUCCCCUCCCCUCCUCUACCUGUCUCCCUCCCUACCUCCCUCCCUCUGUCUCUCUCCCUCUCUCCCUUCCUCCAUCAUUAUACUUUCCCUAGUUAACUAAUAACUAAAAUGUAUCUAUUUUAUGCAGAGUAGAGACUUGGAAUUCCUACUUUCUGUGAUUCACAGUUUUACAAAAUAAAUUUGCAGAAAGCCAGCCAACAGAACAGAAAUUACCUUGCUUUCACAAUGCACGCCACUGACAGGAAUUAUCUUUGCAUUUUUUUCACUUGUUUAUCUUUUUCUUCCCAUGAAGUCAGAAGCACUGUCUGCUUUGUCCUCUUUUCUAGUGACUAGAACUGUAAUUGUUCCUAAAUAGGGAACCGUGGCAGGAUUAGAAUGAAUGAAUGAUGGUUGAUUGUUCUUACGAGCCUGGGGGGCUGGGGGUGGGGACUGUGAGCCAGAGCUCUAACGUUUGAGGCCGGGGAGGUAGAGGGAAGUGAGAACACACUGAACAUUUGGGCUGAUCACAAGGGGAGGGAAGGGUUCUGAAGAGUCAGGGUGGAAGUUAAUGCAGGCUCAGUGAGAAAGCCUGGGUGAAAGUCCUUUCCCCCUGGAAAGGGGGAGGUAAUGUGUGAGGUUAUUCAGAGAAGCAGUAUGGAAUUAGGUAUUUGAGGUUCAAAAUCCCCGUUUGCCUCAUAUAAUAGGAGUAACUUUAUUAAAUAAACCUUAGCUUCUCUGUGCCCAUUCCCCAAUUCUCUUUAAAAAAAUAUAUGUCUUUUGUUCGGUCAUGAUUAUUUUAAUGAAUAUUUUUAAUAAGAAAAUCAUAGUUAUCUUUCUAACACUAGCAUAAAAUUAUAAAAGGAUAAGGUAAAAACUGAACAUACCAUGAUAGAGAUAGUCUUAUGUCUAUGCGCUAGGAUUUGGGGUUAGCAGGUAAAAUGGCAAGAGUCAAAAAUGUCAGUAGUGAUGCGACUGUGGGCCAUAGCUAUUGUAACAGAAAUUGCACAUCUACCAAUGAAUAAAAUCCCAAGUUAAGUAAGAAGCCAUGCAAAUUGUGUACGAUUACUGAUACUUAAAAAUCCCAAGUAAGAUAAAAGGGAUGAUACAUUUCACCUGCGCUACCCACUAGAGUCUUAUAAAACAACUGAGAAAACAGUUGUUUGUAAUUAGAGAACAAUUGAAGUCAGUAGAGUUAAAUCCUAAUUCUGAAUUUUUUGGGGGUGAUUUCUGCUUCUGGAUCCACUGGUUUUUGUUUUGUUUCCAGAUUGCUUUAUCGAUCAGGUUCUCUUUCUUUCAGGCAAUUAUUUGAAAGUAAAAACGCAACAGAGUGGCAGGGUAGGAGCUAACUUCUGUUUCUCUUACAGAGAACCUGGGUUCAGUUCCCAGCACUCUCGAGGUGGCUCACAACCACCUGACCUCUGUUCCAGGGCAUCCAAAUUUCUCUUUUGAGCAUUGUGGGCACCAAGGAUUCAUGUGGUGCAUAUGUAUACAUAAACACAUGCACAUCAAUAAAAUAAACAAAUCUUAAAAGAGAAAAGUGCAACUGAAACGACAGCACAUGACUCAGAUUUCCAGCUGCCUCCAGUGCAAGAGCGCUUGCUGGUUUAAAUGUUCAGUGGUUUCCUGUGGCUCUGCAAAGCACAGAGGAACCUAGGGCCUGAUGUGGUUUUUGAGUAGUGCCACCUAGCAGAGCAUUUUCAAGGUUUUAGAAGUGGAGGCUAAGGAAAUAGCACAAGGUCAACACCCCAAUUC